AGCAGCCGCGGUAAUUCCAGCUCCAAUAGCGUAUAUUAAAGUUGUUGCAGUUAAAAGCUCGUAGUUGAAUUUCGGGGUUCUACCGUUGGUCGGGCUUUGUCUGUACUGGCGUGUAGAAUUUCUACCUUCUGGGGAACUAUCAUGUUAUUAAUUUAGCGUGGUAGGAAACCAGAACCUUUACCUUGAAAAAUUAGAGUGUUCAAAGCAGGCUUAUGUCUGAAUACAUUAGCAUGGAAUAAUAAAAUAGGACGGUGGUCCUGUUUUGUUGGUUUCUGAAUCACCGUAAUGAUUAAUAGGGAUAGUUGGGGCAUUAGUAUUCAAUUGUCAGAGGUGAAAUUCUUGGAUUUAUUGAAGACUAACUACUGCGAAAGCAUUUGCCAAGGAUGUUUUCAUUAAUCAAGAACGAAAGUUAGGGAUCGAAGACGAUCAGAUACCGUCGUAGUCUUAACCAUAAACUAUGCCGACCAGGGAUCGGACGAUGUUAACUUUCUUGACUCGUUCGGCGCCUUACGGGAAACCA
rnacentral:rRNA from 1 species